UUUUAGAAACAAACAAUAUACAUUUGAUGAUUAUAAAGAAAUUUUUAACUUUGCAUUUAUGACUGAUUUAUCAAUCUCAAAUAUGACAUAGUGCUAAUUUUGAUUUAAGUAAACUCCAAAUCGGUAAUCGCUGAAGUAUUAAAACAGUUAGUGGUUUUACAAAUUAUUCUGUCUCUAAUCAGUACAUUAUAAAGAUUGCUAUAAAAAAGAACUGUUGAUGAAAAUUGAGGAGAUAAUUAUAGCAGCAAAAUGUGCUAAAGCAUUAAUCUAAUGAUCAAUUUUAUAUUGCAGUUAUGUAUUGGUACGUCAACGUGAUGCAUCUUUAGAUUGUUUAGGAAUAAAUUAGG
rnacentral:ncRNA from 1 species